GACGAACGCUGGCGGCGUGCCUAACACAUGCAAGUCGAGCGGGGACAUUGCGACAGAUAUGAAGUUUUCGGAUGGAUUUGAAGAUGUAAUGUUCUAGCGGCGGACGGGUGAGUAACGCGUGAGCAACCUGUCCCUUACAGGGGGAUAACACAGCGAAAGUUGUACUAAUACCGCAUAAGACCACAGAGCGACAUCGCUCAGGGGUCAAAGGAGCAAUCCGGUAAGGGGUGGGCUCGCGUCCGAUUAGAUAGUUGGUGAGGUAACGGCCCACCAAGUCGACGAUCGGUAGCCGACCUGAGAGGGUGAUCGGCCACAUUGGGACUGAGACACGGCCCAAACUCCUACGGGAGGCAGCAGUGGGGAAUAUUGGGCAAUGGGGGAAACCCUGACCCAGCAACGCCGCGUGAGGGAAGAAGGUUUUCGGCAUCGUAAACCUCUGUCCUUGGUGAAGAGGAAGAGACGGA
rnacentral:rRNA from 1 species